UGUGAGAGCGGGCUUGCUCGCGAAAGCGGUGGGUCAAUCAAUCUCGAUGUCGCUUGAUACACCGUCUUCGCGAGCAAGCCCGCUCCCACA
rnacentral:ncRNA from 2 species